rnacentral:lncRNA from 11 species
GUAACUGGCAUGGGUGGGGCCACAAGGGACGGCUAGGCCCAUCUCCUCGCCACUCAGUUUGUCUUGGCAAGUUAUAUGAAGCCAAGGCUCUGUGGCCUAGCCACAGAAAGGAGGGAUACUAAGAGUGAAAAUCCUUAUCAUGGCCCCAGCAAGGUCACCCAAUGUUUUUCCAAAGCUUUGGAAAGUCCUAGCCCAGUCGUCAAACCACUACACCAUCCUCUCUUUAUCUGAGUUCAACCUAUAGAAAAGAAAAGAAAGAACUGUAUCUGACACCAAAGAAGUCAACAAAAAGCCAACAUGAGGAAGGUGAGUCUGAUGACUACAGCAUAUGACAUUAUUUAAGUUCAAAUCAGUUUCAAGAAAAUUCCCAUAAU